CUCUCGCCUCAGGAUCGGCGAACAGAUAAUUGCUGAAACGGAGCAAAGAAAUAUCACAACAGCAUUGGCAUGAAGCUUGCAAAAGAAAAGGAUUGAUUUCUACAGUGUGUGCAGAUUUUGCUGCCUAUAUUUGGAGCCAGGAUGACUUCUUUAAACGACUCCCUCGUCAGCACCUGACCUGGUGCCCACAGCUACACCAGAACAAGAGAUUCUGAAGCUCAUUGGUGGAGUUUUCAUCCCACCAGGGACCAGGAGAGGAAAGAUGAGUGUGAUCUCCUCCUCCUCAGUCACGCAGGCCAGAAUUCCAUGCUUGGCACCUCAGUAGGUACCUCACUACAAAUGGUGCUGAUGGAUCAGGAAGUCAGGUUUGGACAAGAUAAGAUAGGAUUCAGGGU
rnacentral:lncRNA from 1 species